GUGAAGACGUGCAACGGCUAACAAUUGUGUCUAAAAUAUAUAUUAAAUAAUUGAACUUAGUCUUUAAGAGAGGAGUUACAAUUUGCAAUAUAAUUGUGAAGAUUUGUGAAGAGUUCGCCUAGGAAUUGUGAUCAAAUUUGUGAAAUAGAAAAUAUCAAUAUCAAAUGGAAUAUUUUUGCCUCUUUAUUCUUUUCGAAGUAAUAUUAUUGAAUAUGAAUGGCUAUUGAUUUACUUAGUAUUUUUGGGUAUGCCCAGCGAUACCCACAAGCGGAAAAAAAAAGCAAAACCGUAACUGGCAAAACAACACGAGUUCAACCCGUUCCCUGUUCCAGUUCUCGUUCUCCAUCCAGAACUUGACUCUGGCGCAGCCAACUUAACAAGGCAGUUGAAUAAAGAAUCAGGGGUAGCCAAUUUAAGAAAGCAAUAGCUUACUGCAGCUAACUUAACAAAGCUCUUGCCGAACGAAUCAAUCGCAGCAAACUUAACAAGACCGUUGCAUAUAGAGUCAGGCGCAGCCAACUUAACAAAGCAACAAUGUAAUGCAGCCAACUUAACAAGUGCAACGCAAGUGAAAUAUGUGCAAAUCGUAUAUAAAAUAAACAAGUGCAAAUCAAGUGAAAUAAGUGUAAAUCGACUAAAAUCGCGACUGAAGAGCAUCAGGAAUUUAGAGUGGAUUGCUGAUUAAAAAAGGAAUCAAUGCAUUGAACAAAGACAAUAAAAGGCAUCUAAUGUUGAAGAAAGCUGCGCAUGAAAUCUGAAAAUGAAAAAUCAAAAGUUAAAUGGAGUUUACAAGAAAUUGAAUUUAAAGCAGUUUUGAGCGGCUCUGAUCUAGACUUUUGGCUUAUGGAGGAAAUUGGAAAGAGGAUUGAAAUUGGAAUGUUUUAACCAACAGAAGCUUUGUCGGAUGUAUGUAUUAACAACAGUUCAUCAUUCCCGAUUCGUCAGGCAACAAUCACAUUACAAUAUUCAAUGGCUCAAUUGAAUUCCUAUUUGUAUUUAUAUUUGUAUUUGUAUUAUACAUUAUAUUUCAU